ACAGUACAAACUGAGCAGACCGGGAUUAUAUAAAAGUAUAAUCCAGGAGUCGGGUCACAUGUGUGACAGUGGAAUCUUUUCUAUCCACGGGACAGUA
rnacentral:ncRNA from 1 species